GGAAAGGACUAGUUUAACGGAAAAACGCUGAUUGCUAAUGAGAGUUGCCGGUUCGAUUCCGGCUCCUUUCCG
rnacentral:tRNA from 1 species